AGCAGCCGCGGUAAUUCCAGCUCCAAUAGCGUAUAUUAAAGUUGUUGCAGUUAAAAAGCUCGUAGUUGAAUUUCGGGAUUAAUUUAUUGGUCGUGCUAUUGUACGUACUGGUAUUAUUGAUUCCUACCUUCUGACGAACCACGAUGUCAUUAAUUUGGUGUCAUGGGGAAUCAGGACUGUUACUUUGAAAAAUUAGAGUGUUUAAAGCAGGCUCACGCUUGAAUACAUUAGCAUGGAAUAACGAAAUAGGACGUUUGAUUCUAUUUUGUUGGUUUCUAGGAUCGACGUAAUGAUUAAUAGGGAUAGUUGGGGGCAUUAGUAUUCAAUUGUCAGAGGUGAAAUUCUUGGAUUUAUUGAAGACUAACUACUGCGAAAGCAUUUGCCAAGGAUGUUUUCAUUAAUCAAGAACGAAAGUUAGGGGAUCGAAGACGAUCAGAUACCGUCGUAGUCUUAACCAUAAACUAUGCCGACUAGGGAUCGGAUGAUGUUAAUUU
rnacentral:rRNA from 1 species